ensembl:lncRNA
GUUUUAUUCUUAUAUUUGCCUCUCCCUACGCGAGGGAGACGAACUCUGAAUUAUUUCUUUGGUAACUCCACGUUCGUUGAACCUUUGAAACUUCGCGCGAGUCUGCUCGCCCCGGAAGACACGAGAGAACACGCCCAGCUCUAAAAGCACGACGCACGCAGCUCUUAGCAGGCACAAAGAUACCCACAUGAAAAGGCAGUUUGAGGAUGAGAGAGAGCUCCACAUCUCCCUGAGAGGAUUCAGACAUAGAGGGGACGACACACAUCAAAGAAUCUGGAUGGGGCUGGCUAUGCUUUGACUAAGCCACACCCCUUCUCAACUUCCACCUCGAGGAGGUCCCCAAAGCCAACCCAAUGGCCAAACAACACGAGAACAAAUGGGCUAUGGCCGGGAAGAGGUCAGGGAGCAAGGGGGCCACGGGGAUCCGGGGCGUGGGACUCGGGCCCCGGCCUGAGUCUUAGGUAUCCGUAGCGCCCUCCUUCUUCCUCCUCUUCGCUGAAUACAGCUCACGGUAAGUACUGGUUCACACAGUUAGUUCUCGAG